GAUGAACGCUAGCGAUAGGCCUAACACAUGCAAGUCGAGGGGCAUCACAUGAAGUAGCAAUACGGAUGGUGGCGACCGGCGCACGGGUGAGUAACACGUAUGCAACCUGCCUUCAACAAGGGGAUAACCCGUUGAAAGACGGACUAAUACCCUAUAACACAGGGGUCCCGCAUGGGAAUAUUUGUUAAAGGACAACCGGUUGAAGAUGGGCAUGCGUUCCAUUAGCUAGUUGGCGGGGUAACGGCCUACCAAGCCGACGAUCCGUAGCUGGUCUGAGAGGAUGAUCAGCCACACUGGGACUGAGACACGGCCCAGACUCCUACGGGAGGCAGCAGUGGGGAAUAUUGGACAAUGGGCGCAAGCCUGAUCCAGCAAUGCCGCGUGAGUGAUGAAGGCCUUAGGGUUGUAAAGCUCUUUCGCACGCGACGAUGAUGACGGUAGCGUGAGAAGAAGCCCCGGCUAACUUCGUGCCAGCAGCCGCGGU
rnacentral:rRNA from 1 species